rnacentral:rRNA from 1 species
CCUACGGGUGGCAGCAGUGAGGAAUAUUGGUCAAUGGACGAGAGUCUGAACCAGCCAAGUAGCGUGAAGGAUGACUGCCCUAUGGGUUGUAAACUUCUUUUAUAAAGGAAUAAAACGAGGCACGUGUGCUUUUUUGCAUGUACUUUAUGAAUAAGGAUCGGCUAACUCCGUGCCAGCAGCCGCGGUAAUACGGAGGAUCCGAGCGUUAUCCGGAUAUAUUGGGUUUAAAGGGAGCGUAGGUGGAUUGUUAAGUCAGUUGUGAAAGUUUGCGGCUCAACCGUAAAAUUGCAGUUGAAACUGGCAGUCUUGAGUACAGUAGAGGUAGGCGGAAUUCGUGGUGUAGCGGUGAAAUGCUUAGAUAUCACGAAGAACUCCGAUUGCGAAGGCAGUUCACUGGACUGCAACUGACACUGAGGCUCGAAAGUGUGGGUAUCAAACAGGAUUAGAUACCCGGGUAGUC